GACGAACGCUGGCGGCGUGCCUAAUACAUGCAAGUAGAACGCUGAAGGAGGAGCUUGCUUCUCUGGAUGAGUUGCGAACGGGUGAGUAACGCGUAGGUAACCUGCCUGGUAGCGGGGGAUAACUAUUGGAAACGAUAGCUAAUACCGCAUAAUAGCAGUUAUUGCAUGAUGACUGUUUGAAAGGUGCAAUUGCACCACUACCAGAUGGACCUGCGUUGUAUUAGCUAGUUGGUGGGGUAACGGCUCACCAAGGCGACGAUACAUAGCCGACCUGAGAGGGUGAUCGGCCACACUGGGACUGAGACACGGCCCAGACUCCUACGGGAGGCAGCAGUAGGGAAUCUUCGGCAAUGGACGGAAGUCUGACCGAGCAACGCCGCGUGAGUGAAGAAGGUUUUCGGAUCGUAAAGCUCUGUUGUAAGAGAAGAACGAGUGUGAGAGUGGAAAGUUCACACUGUGACGGUAUCUUACCAGAAAGGGACGGCUAACUACGUG
rnacentral:rRNA from 1 species